AUGUCGGAAAUAAAUUCUCGUGUCCGCCCUAAAAAAGGUGUUCGCCCCCCAAAUCCCAACGGGAAGCACCGCCGCCGCCCUCGCCUGCCCACCCGAUCCGGAUCCGGCCCAAACCCACGCCCUCCACGCUCCACUUUCCUUUUUAGUUCCGCCUCCACGCCACGCCUGCUCGCCGAAGCCGCGUCCGAGGCUCCGGCUGCCGCCACCGCCUCUGCCCCGGCUAUAAAGGCGCGCCCUUUGGCCGCCCCGCUCCUCCUCCUCCUCUCUUCGUCCGCGCCGCGCCACUCGCCUCCUCGCCGCGCUCUGGCCGGCCCGCUCCUCCUCCUCCUCCUCUCUUCGCCCGGGCCGCGCCUCUCGCCUCCUCGCCGCGCUCGGGCCGGUCUGCUGCUCCUCCACUCUUCGUCCGGGCCGUGCCGUUCUCCUCCCCGCCGCGCUCUGGCUGGUUUGCUGCUCCUCCUCCUCCUCCCCCUCUCCUCAUCCGGGCCGUGCCUCUGUCCUCCUCGAGUCGCUCGUCCUCCAUCGAUUCGUCCGUUUAGAACCGCGUCUGGAUUUGGUUUUGCUCGCCCUCGCCGUCGCCGAAUCGCUUCCGAGUUGAUUUUGCUCGUCCCCGCCGUUCGUCAGUUUAGAGUCGCUUCCCCUGAUUUGGUUCUGCUCGUCCUGGCCGUCGUCCGUUUUUCCUCGCCCCCGUCGUCGCCCCGAUGCGCUCGCGUGUUCUUGGUCCGUCUCGUCGAGGGUCUCCGUCUGUCAUUGGCAUGUCAUGUUGUGACCUAUAUACCUCUGUGGUUGGCAGUAUCUUUGCCCUUUGAUUCUGCUCAUCCUCGCUGUCAUUUUAUCGUCCUCGCUGUCGCCCUGAUGCGCUCGCAUGUUCUUGGGUCGUCUCGUCGAGGAUGGGGUGAUUCUGAUUGUGUUACUGCUUAUAUGGUCUGUCCAAUUGGUUCCUUCUUCAUGCUUUGCUUGUGUUCCAAUGUCGUCUCCCCAUAUAUGGGGAUGUGUUCAGGGAUGCAAACCAUCGCAGUCCCAAAACGCUUAUUUAGCCAUGUUCUCCUUGUUCACUUCACAAGUAUUCAUGUUGAUACUCACCUCUACAGUCAUACAAACUGGCAUGCCGAGGACUGCUCAGGGUUCCUAUCGCUUUCUGUUUUACCAACUAAGACUCUUAAAUUUCGUGAUAAAGAAAAGCUGAAUUAUUUCCGGAUAGGACAGAGGUGCAAUGUUUACAUCCAUGGCAGAAGGUUCUUUAACACCGAACUCAUCAAAGGUCCUUGGGCUCAAAAGGAAGAUAACAAAAUUAUUGACCUUGUUAACAAGUAUGGACCAACAAAAAUGAUCUCAUUGCAAGUGGACGCUACUUGGCAUGCUCAGCGUGUUUACGUCGGUGGACUUCCUCCAAUCGCUAAUGAACAGAUGGUUGCUCUAUUCUUCAAUCAAGUUAUGGCUGCUAUCGGGGGAAACGCAUUUGGUCUAGUUUGCAUUACCUUCUUUGUGGUUACCUUCUUUGCAUGUGAUUCAAGCUUUGAAAUCAUCCUUCCUUGCUAUGAAAAACCUAGGCAUGCCAGGAACUUCCUGAUUCCUUUCUCAAGCUGUAUGAGCAAACGUUCCCUAUGUCCCCCUUUCUCGCUCCACAAACGCUACUCCCCCACCUUUUCCGCCAUCGUCUCGCGCUCCGCUCCGCAGAUGAUUCGGUAUGGUAUCGCACGGAUCUUGGCGUGA
rnacentral:rRNA from 1 species